rnacentral:snRNA from 1 species
GGAUGUGAGGGUGAUUUGGCUGGGACAUCUGUCACCCAUGAUUGCCAGAGUUGAUUCAGCUGAUCUGGCUGGCUAGGUGGGUGUCCCCUUCCUUCCUCACCCGUUCCAUGUGCAUCCCUCCUGGAGCUGUGUGCUUGUUCAAAGAGGAUGACCUUUCUCGGUUGAGGAGGACAGCUCUUUGGUCAAAGGUAUACGAGUAGCUGUGCUCCCUUGCUAGAACCUCCAAACAAGCUCUUAAGGUCCAUUUGUAGGAGAACGUAGGGUAGUCAAGUUUCCAAGACUCCAGACCCACCCAAAUGAACUGCUGCAUGUGACAGUCUGCCUUUCUUU